rnacentral:rRNA from 1 species
GACGAACGCUGGCGGCGUGCUUAACACAUGCAAGUCGAACGGAAAGGCCCUGCUUUUGUGGGGUGCUCGAGUGGCGAACGGGUGAGUAACACGUGAGUAACCUGCCCUUGACUUUGGGAUAACUUCAGGAAACUGGGGCUAAUACCGGAUAGGAGCUCCUGCUGCAUGGUGGGGGUUGGAAAGUUUCGGCGGUUGGGGAUGGACUCGCGGCUUAUCAGCUUGUUGGUGGGGUAGUGGCUUACCAAGGCUUUGACGGGUAGCCGGCCUGAGAGGGUGACCGGCCACAUUGGGACUGAGAUACGGCCCAGACUCCUACGGGAGGCAGCAGUGGGGAAUAUUGCACAAUGGGCGGAAGCCUGAUGCAGCAACGCCGCGUGCGGGAUGACGGCCUUCGGGUUGUAAACCGCUUUCGCCUGUGACGAAGCGUGAGUGACGGUAAUGGGUAAAGAAGUACCGGCUAACUACGUG